AUGAAUAGUAAUGUCACUUCCUUGUUGCAGAGCUGGCAGACUGCCCUCCGUUCCUGCUGGCUGAGAGCCAGAGAUGGCCCGAGGUCUACACUUCUCUCUGCAGCCACAUUCUCAGCCUCCCUGUGGCUGGGGCACGUCUGGACUCAGCAUUUCUGCCUCCCAAGGGGAUACGCGUGCUUCUGUGUUUCCUCCACUGCAGUCCAAACAAGAAUCAACCAUGCUACCAUGAACAUCAUUAAAACGACGUUGGUUCACUCAGUGGCAACGGAGUGGCAGUCAGGGGCUCCUGUCGUGGAACAGGCACUGUUUGGAUCCUGCAGAAUCCGGGUGGUAAGUUGUCUUAUCCUGAUGGAGUGAGCAGGGGGAUUUCUGAGUGUAGACAGCACCUGACCUCGUUCACUUUCAGAUGGUCAGCAAAGCCUCUGGUGGAGAGGAGGAUUUCCAAACAUCUGAAAUACCUGAGGGCAGGGAAGGCUCCCAGGGCAAGAAGAAGGAAUUUUUGGGAAUAAGCUGUCUGAAAUCAGCAAAAGAACUGAUUGGAAUGAGACCUUGUGUCACUUUCUAAAAUUGGACGUGGCUGAAAAUAGCUAUUGGAGGGACUUGGGAAAGAAGGAGCUUUGCCUUGAGUUCUAGGAAUGUCCCGCAGGGUGGGUGUCCACUUUGCUUCCUGACCUCUGCUCUGUCCUUCGCCACCACCUCUGCCCCUCUCACUUCCCACAUCAGCUCUGUUCUGCCUGUUCAUGCUUAUCUCAAACUUCUGCUAAAAACUUCCUCUUUCCAGUGAUGCUCUUUGUUCUUUGUAGAGGAUACUUGAUUCUCCCGAGUCCAAACUCAAAAAAAGACCUUCCCUCUAAUGUUUUCAAAUGUUCCCCACUUGUGGACCAAAUAUUUUUUGAGCAAUUAUCAUGUACUGUUGGAAAAUUCACAAUUUAUAAAACAUUCACCCUACAUGAUUACUUUAAAACAAUAUGAAGUAAUAUAUGGUUAAAUGUCAAGGAAAUGGCAACCCAUUCCAGUAUCCUUGCCUGGAAAAUCCCAUGAACAGAGGAGCCUGGUGGGCUACAGUCCAUGGGGUCACCAAGGAGUUGGACACGACUUAGGGAUGACAACAACAACAUACGUAAUGGGUAGGAGGUGUUUAAGGAAUUUAGAAGAGACAGAGAGAUCAUGUUGGAGCUGGAGUCCAUACUGAAGGCUCCACAGAAAAGCAAACCUUCAGACUAGAUGGUAAAAAGGUGGAACUGGGGAGAUUUGAAAUAAAGCCAAGCUUAGCGAACAAAUACUUGCAGGAGGAAUUUCAUGGUAGAGAAUAAUAAAAAUAAUGUUUAACAACUAAAGAGGAUCUUAUGGUUUGCAACUGCUUUCACACAUACACACACACUAUUUGAGGGGUACCUCACCAUGCAGCUUGUGGGAUCUCAGUUCCCUGACCGGGGCUCAAACCUGGGCAGUGAAAGAGCUAAGUUCUAACCACUGGACUGUCAGAGAAGUACUUCCCCCACCUCUACUAUCCCUACACUAUUGAAUUUAAGAGCAGUGAGCUGAAACCAAGUCCUGCUGUAUAGAGGGGGAACAAUAUCCAAUCUCCUUAGGAUAAACCAUAAUGGAAAGGAAUUAAAAAAAAAAAAAGAAUGUAUGCUACUGCUGCUGCUAAGUCGCUUCAGUCGUGUCCGACUCUAUGCGACCCCAUAGACAGCAGCCCACCAGGCUCCUCUGUCCAUGGGAUUCUCCAGGCAAGAACACUGGAGUGGGUUGCCAUUUCCUCCUCCAAUGCAUGAAAGUGAAAAGUCAAAGUGAAGUUGCUCAGUCGUGUCCGACUCUUAGCGACCCCAUGGACUGCAGCCUACCAGGCUCCUCUGUCCAUGGGAUUCUCCAGGCAAGAACACUGGAGUGGGUUGCCAUUUCCUCCUCCAAUGCAUGAAAGUGAAAAGUCAAAGUGAAGUUGCUCAGUCGUGUCCGACUCUUAGCGACCCCAUGGACUGCAGCCUACCAGGCUCCUCUGUCCAUGGGAUUCUCCAGGCAAGAACACUGGAGUGGGUUGCCAUUUCCUCCUCCAAUGCAUGAAAGUGAAAAGUCAAAGUGAAGUUGCUCAGUCGUGUCCGACUCUUAGCGACCCCAUGGACUGCAGCCUACCAGGCUCCUCUGUCCAUGGGAUUCUCCAGGCAAGAACACUGGAGUGGGUUGCCAUUUCCUCCUCCAAUGCAUGAAAGUGAAAAGUCAAAGUGAAGUUGCUCAGUCGUGUCCGACUCUUAGCGACCCCAUGGACUGCAGCCUACCAGGCUCCUCUGUCCAUGGGAUUCUCCAGGCAAGAACACUGGAGUGGGUUGCCAUUUCCUCCUCCAAUGCAUGAAAGUGAAAAGUCAAAGUGAAGUUGCUCAGUCGUGUCCGACUCUUAGCGACCCCAUGGACUGCAGCCUACCAGGCUCCUCUGUCCAUGGGAUUCUCCAGGCAAGAACACUGGAGUGGGUUGCCAUUUCCUCCUCCAAUGCAUGAAAGUGAAAAGUCAAAGUGAAGUUGCUCAGUCGUGUCCGACUCUUAGCGACCCCAUGGACUGCAGCCUACCAGGCUCCUCUGUCCAUGGGAUUCUCCAGGCAAGAACACUGGAGUGGGUUGCCAUUUCCUCCUCCAAUGCAUGAAAGUGAAAAGUCAAAGUGAAGUUGCUCAGUCGUGUCCGACUCUUAGCGACCCCAUGGACUGCAGCCUACCAGGCUCCUCUGUCCAUGGGACUUUCCAGGCAAGAGUACUGGAGUGGGGUGCCAUUGCCUUCUCCCAUAUAUGUGUUAAAAAGUUCCCCACUUGUGGACCAAAUAUUUUUGAGCAAUUAUCAUGUACUGUUGGAAAAUUCACAAUUUAUAAAACAUUCACCCUACAUGAUUACUUUAAAACAAUAUGAAGUAAUAUAUGGUUAAAUGUCAAGGAAAUGGCAACCCAUUCCAGUAUCCUUGCCUGGAAAAUCCCAUGAACAGAGGAGCCUGGUGGGCUACAGUCCAUGGGGUCACCAAGGAGUUGGACACGACUUAGGGAUGACAACAACAACAUACGUAAUGGGUAGGAGGUGUUUAAGGAAUUUAGAAGAGACAGAGAGAUCAUGUUGGAGCUGGAGUCCAUACUGAAGGCUCCACAGAAAAGCAAACCUUCAGACUAGAUGGUAAAAAGGUGGAACUGGGGAGAUUUGAAAUAAAGCCAAGCUUAGCGAACAAAUACUUGCAGGAGGAAUUUCAUGGUAGAGAAUAAUAAAAAUAAUGUUUAACAACUAAAGAGGAUCUUAUGGUUUGCAACUGCUUUCACACAUACACACACACUAUUUGAGGAGUACCUCACCAUGCAGCUUGUGGGAUCUCAGUUCCCUGACCGGGC
ensembl:lncRNA